rnacentral:rRNA from 1 species
CCUACGGGUGGCAGCAGUGGGGAAUAUUGCACAAUGGGGGAAACCCUGAUGCAGCGACGCCGCGUGAGUGAAGAAGUAAUUCGUUAUGUAAAGCUCUAUCAGCAGGGAAGAAAAUGACGGUACCUGAGUAAGAAGCCCCGGCUAACUACGUGCCAGCAGCCGCUGUAAUACGUAGGGGGCAAGCGUUCUCCGGAUUUACUGGGUGGAAAGGGAGCGUAGACGGCAGUGCAAGUCUGGAGUGAAAGGCGGGGGCUCAACCCCCGGUCUGCUCUGGAAACUGUACGGCUGGAGUGCAGGAGAGGUAAGUGGAAUUCCUAGUGUAGCGGUGAAAUGCGUAGAUAUUAGGAGGAACACCAGUGGCGAAGGCGGCUUACUGGACUGUAACUGACGUUGAGGCUCGAAAGCGUGGGGAGCAAACAGGAUUAGAUACCCCUGUAGUC